UCCUUGGUGGUCCAGUGGUAGGAUACCAUGCUCCCAAUGCAUGGGGCCUGGGUUCAAUCCCCAGUCAGGGAA
rnacentral:tRNA from 1 species